CCGCUAAUCUUAUUUUGACCUUAGUUAACACCUCAGUACAAGCCAUUCAUGGGGCCAACUUUACGCUGUUAGAAGAAUGCUGGGUCUGCUAUUCCUCCACCCCACCCUUUUAUGAGGGGAUUGCUAAUUUUAAAAGAUUAUUGUUUACUAAUGAUACCUCUAGCUUAAGGUGGAGCCCACCAGAAAAACAAGGCCUGACUCUCAACAAAGUCUCAGGCCUAGGAUUGUGCCUCAUUGGGCCCAACAUGUUACCUCCUAAAGCUCUGACAAAAGUCUGCAAUCAAACUCUAGUGGUAAAUAGUUCCUCUCAAUAUAUUUCAACUUCUAACAACACCUACCUUGCUUGCUCGUCAGGACUGACCACCUUUAUAGUUACCCAAGUUUUUCUUUUGAAACGUGAUUAUUGUGUACAAGUUGCCCUUCUUCCACACCUAAUUUUCUAUGAGGUUAAAGAGUUUUUAAGAUUAUGGGAAAAAGGGGCUGGAACUCUGUCCAGAACUAAGAGAGAGCCCAUAACUGCAAUUACCUUAGCAGUCAUUAUUGGAUUAGGAGCUGCCGGAGCCGGGACAGGGGUUGCCUCCUUGAUCACUUCUAACCAACAAUAUAAUCAGCUUAGCGCUGCAGUUGAUAAAGACAUCCAGGAACUACAAUUGGGCCUAAAAAAUCUUAAAGAUUCAGUUACUUCUCUCUCUGAGGUAGUCCUACAAAACAGGAGGGGACUAGACCUCCUUUUCUUACAACAAGGAGGAUUAUGUGCUGCCCUUAAAGAAGAAUGUUGUUUUUAUACAGACAAAACGGGGUUAGUAGAGGACAGCUUACAAAAGGUCAGAGAAAGACUAGAAAAAAGGAAGAGAGAGAGAGAGACCCAAAAAGGGUGGUUCGAGUCUUGGUAUUUCCAGUCACCAUGGAUGACCACACUGUUCUCAGCCCUGGCUGGACCUGUGCUUUUUGUCUGCCUAGCUCUAAUUUUCAGUCCCUGUAUAGUCAACAAAGGCAUAGCAUUUAUCCAAAACCGGAUAGACGCAGUGAAACUCAUGGUCAUACAGAGACAAUACCAGCCUAUAGUUCAAUUCGAGACAGAACUGAGAGACACUGGGAUUUAAAUUCUAGGAUUAGAAUUAUUCAGUAGGAGAAGAAGGGAAAAUGAAAGGAGAAUUAUACGAAUUCUAGGUUUUGAGAUACAAAACUUAAAAGAGUAAGCCCCUGCAGCCAAAACUAGCAGGCCAUAAAGAUAGAGGAAUGCAAGAAGCACUGCCCAGGCAGCACUAGUAGGCCAUAAAAGAAUAAACCCCAAAAGGUCACAGACCCAGGGCUAAGCCUUGCAGCCAGGACUGGCAAGCCAUAAAGAUAAGGAAAAGGAAUGCAGGAACCAGCCUGAGUUAAUGGGACUGAUUCAUGGGACAUCUGGCAGGAAGACAUCUCCCCCUAGCACACUCAGGGCCAUAUCUCAACUAGGUGUCCACCUCCCCCUAGCACACUCAGGGCCAUAUUUCAACUAGGUGUCCUCCGGCCCCUGGUAAGCCCCUGACUUCUAGCACGUACCCUUUCUGCUUUGUUCUCACUGCUAUGUUUGAAUGAGCCAAUUGUAUGUAACCGCGUCAAAACCCCCUAGCUUUCUCUAUAUAACCCUCUAACUUUUGAGUUUCGGGGUCAACUCCUCUGUCUCCUGCGUGAGACACGUGUUGGCCCGGAGCUUCGUUAUUAUUAAACGACCUCUUGUUUUUUACAUCAA
rnacentral:lncRNA from 1 species